CAGCUGUAAACGAUGCAGGCUAGGUGUUUGGACGGCCACGUGCCGUUCUAGUGCCGCAGGGAAGCUGUUAAGCCUGCCGCCUGGGGAGUACGAUCGCAAGAUUGAAACUUAAAGGAAUUGGGCGGGGGGAGCACCACAAGGGGUGAAGCUUGCGGUUUAAUUGGACUCAACGCCGGGAAGCUCACCGGAUAGGACAGACAUAUGAUAGUCGGGCUGAAGACUCUACUUGAUGAUCUGAGAGGAGGUGCAUGGCGUCAGUGACU
rnacentral:rRNA from 1 species